rnacentral:rRNA from 1 species
UAGGGAAUAUUGGUAAUGGGCGAAAGCCUGAACCAGCAACGCCGCGUGUGCGAUGAAGGCCUUCGGGUCGUAAAGCACUUUUUGGAGGGAUGAGGAAGGACAGUACCUCCAGAAUAAGCCUCGGCUAACUACGUGCCAGCAGCCGCGGUAACACGUAGGAGGCAAGCGUUAUUCGGAUUUACUGGGCGUAAAGCGCGUGCAGGCGGUUCGGAAAGUUGGAUGUGAAAGCUCCUGGCUUAACUGGGAGAGGUCGUUCAAUACUUCCGGACUUGAGAGUGGGAGAGGGAAGUGGAAUUCCGGGUGUAGUGGUGAAAUGCGUAGAUAUCCGGAGGAACACCAGUGGCGAAAGCGGCUUCCUGGACCAUUUCUGACGCUUAGACGCGAAAGCUAGGGGAGCGAACG